rnacentral:rRNA from 1 species
CUUGAUGAACGCUAGCUACAGGCUUAACACAUGCAAGUCGAGGGGCAGCAUGGUCUUAGCUUGCUAAGGCCGAUGGCGACCGGCGCACGGGUGAGUAACGCGUAUCCAACCUGCCUUACACUCUUGGACAGCCUUCUGAAAGGGAGAUUAAUACAAGAUGUUAUCAUGAGUAAGCAUUUUCGCAUGAUUAAAGGUUUACCGGUGUAAGAUGGGGAUGCGUUCCAUUAGAUAGUAGGCGGGGUAACGGCCCACCUAGUCUUCGAUGGAUAGGGGUUCUGAGAGGAAGGUCCCCCACAUUGGAACUGAGACACGGUCCAAACUCCUACGGGAGGCAGCAGUGAGGAAUAUUGGUCAAUGGACGAGAGUCUGAACCAGCCAAGUAGCGUGAAGGAUGAAGGUUCUAUGGAUUGUAAACUUCUUUUAUACGGGAAUAAACGGAUCCACGUGUGGAUUUUUGCAUGUACCGUAUGAAUAAGGAUCGGCUAACUCCGUGCUAGCAGCCGCGGUAAUACGGAGGAUCCGAGCGUUAUCCGGAUUUAUUGGGUUUAAAGGGAGCGUAGAUGGGUUGUUAAGUCAGUUGUGAAAGUUUGCGGCUCAACCGUAAAAUUGCAAUUGAUACUGGCAGUCUUGAGUACAGUUGAGGUAGGCGGAAUUCGUGGUGUAGCGGUGAAAUGCUUAGAUAUCACGAAGAACUCCGAUUGCGAAGGCAGCUUACUAACCUGUAACUGACAUUGAUGCUCGAAAGUGUGGGUAUCAAACAGGAUUAGAUACCCUGGUAGUCCACACGGUAAACGAUGAAUACUCGCUGUAGGCGAUAUACAGUCUGCGGCCAAGCGAAAGCAUUAAGUAUUCCACCUGGGGAGUACGCCGGCAACGGUGAAACUCAAAGGAAUUGACGGGGGCCCGCACAAGCGGAGGAACAUGUGGUUUAAUUCGAUGAUACGCGAGGAACCUUACCCGGGCUUAAAUUGCAACCGAAUAUGGCGGAAACGCUAUAGCUAGCAAUAGCGGUUGUGAAGGUGCUGCAUGGUUGUCGUCAGCUCGUGCCGUGAGGUGUCGGCUUAAGUGCCAUAACGAGCGCAACCCUUGCCGAUAGUUACUAACAGGUCAUGCUGAGGACUCUGUCGGGACUGCCAUCGUAAGAUGUGAGGAAGGUGGGGAUGACGUCAAAUCAGCACGGCCCUUACGUCCGGGGCUACACACGUGUUACAAUGGGGGGUACAGAGGGCUGCUACCACGCAAGUGGAUGCCAAUCCCAAAAACCUCUCUCAGUUCGGAUUGAAGUCUGCAACCCGACUUCAUGAAGCUGGAUUCGCUAGUAAUCGCGCAUCAGCCACGGCGCGGUGAAUACGUUCCCGGGCCUUGUACACACCGCCCGUCAAGCCAUGGGAGCCGGGGGUACAAGAAGUGCGUAACCGCAAGGAGCGCCCUAGGGUA